AACGAACGCUGGCGGCAGGCCUAACACAUGCAAGUCGAGCGGACCCUUCGGGGUUAGCGGCGGACGGGGGAGUAACGCGUGGGAAUAUGCCCUUCUCUACGGAAUAGUCCUGGGAAACUGGGGGUAAUACCGUAUACGCCCUUUGGGGGAAAGAGUUAUCGGGGAAGGAUUAGCCCGCGUUGGAUUAGGUAGUUGGUGGGGUAAUGGCCUACCAAGCCGACGAUCCAUAGCUGGUUUGAGAGGAUGAUCAGCCACACUGGGCCUGAGACACGGCCCAGACUCCUACGGAAGGCAGCAGUGGGGAAUCUUAGACAAUGGGGGCAACCCUGAUCUAGCCAUGCCGCGUGAGUGAUGAAGGCCUUAGGGUUGUAAAGCUCUUUCAGCUGGGAAGAUAAUGACGGUACCAGCAGAAGAAGCCCCGGCUAACUCCGUG
rnacentral:rRNA from 1 species